rnacentral:piRNA from 1 species
GGAGGAUUUAGUAGUAAAUUAAG